rnacentral:misc_RNA from 1 species
AUUGAAGAGAGACUUCCACAGUCGGUAAUAGAUUAUUUGUCAUCAUUUGCAAUCACGACUACUCUAUAUGUUGGUGCUGGUGGGAGUGGAGCAGUAAUUUCUGACGAGACGAGAUUUCCAUGCCUUAAAACCACCACCACCAUUUGGAAUUGACACUUUUAUUCUCUGUGAUCUCCCUGAGCAAGCCGCGGGUCUUAUCUACAGCGGCACCGAAAUUGAGCUUGGUUUUAAAUUUGGUGGGUAGUAUAUUUAUAGUACCACCUGAGCAAGCCAUAUCAGUCGCCGAAGUUGGAGUAGGCUGGCAUGGAAUUGCUUUCCUGCAUGGAAGUAAUAGAAAGGAAUUGGGGAACUGUGGAAGAAGAGAGGUGGGAACGUGGG